CCUACGGGUGGCAGCAGUGAGGAAUAUUGGUCAAUGGGCGCAAGCCUGAACCAGCCAAGUCGCGUGAGGGAUGACGGUCCUAUGGAUUGUAAACCUCUUUUGUCGGGGAGCAAGGCCCGCCACGUGUGGCGGGAAGGAGAGUACCCGAAGAAAAAGCAUCGGCUAACUCCGUGCCAGCAGCCGCGGUAAUACGGAGGAUGCGAGCGUUAGUCGGAUUUAUGGGGGUUAAAGGGUGCGUAGGCGGAAGGUUAAGUCAGUGGUCAAAGGUCGGUGCUCAACACCGGCCUGCCGUUGAAACUGGUCUUCUUGAGUGCGCUAGAAGUAUGCGGAAUGCGUGUUGUAGCGGUUCACUGCAUAGAUAUCACGCAGACCUCCGCUUGCGAAGGCAGCAUACCGGCGCUCAACUGACGCUGAGGCACGAAAGCGUGGGGAUCGAACAGGAUUAGAUACCCCUGUAGUC
rnacentral:rRNA from 1 species